UACGUAGGGGGCAAGCGUUGUCCGGAUUUAUUGGGCGUAAAGAGCGUGUAGGCGGUUAGGUAGGUCCGUUGUGAAAACUCGAGGCUCAACCUCGAGACGCCGAUGGAAACCAUCUGACUAGAGUCCGGAAGAGGAGAGUGGAAUUCCUGGUGUAGCGGUGAAAUGCGCAGAUAUCAGGAAGAACACCCCGUGGCUAAGGCGGCUCUCCUAUAGCGUGGACCUGA
rnacentral:rRNA from 1 species